GUGGAGCUCGGUGGUCUGUCUUCUGAGUAUCAUCAUGGGGUCUACUGCUACAGAAACUGAAGAAUUGGAAAACACCACUUUUAAGUAUCUCAUAGGAGAACAGACUGAAAAAAUGUGGCAACGCCUGAAAGGAAUACUAAGAUGCUUAGUGAAGCAGCUGGAAAAAGGUGAUGUUAACAUCGUAGACUUAAAGAAGAAUAUUGAAUAUGCAGCAUCUGUGCUGGAAGCAGUUUAUAUCGAUGAAACAAGAAGACUGCUGGAUACUGAUGAUGAGCUCAGUGACAUUCAGUCGGAUUCGGUCCCAUUGGAAGUCCGGGACUGGUUGGCUUCUACCUUUACACGGAAAAUGGGGAUGAUGAAAAAGAAAUCUGAGGAAAAACCAAGAUUUCGGAGCAUUGUGCAUGCUGUUCAAGCUGGAAUUUUUGUGGAAAGAAUGUACAGAAAAUCCUAUCACAUGGUUGGGUUGACAUAUCCAGAAGCUGUCAUAGUAACAUUAAAGGAUGUUGAUAAAUGGUCUUUUGAUGUAUUUGCCUUGAAUGAAGCAAGUGGAGAACAUAGUCUGAAGUUUAUGAUUUAUGAACUAUUUACCAGAUAUGAUCUUAUCAACCGUUUCAAGAUUCCUGUUUGUUGCCUAAUUGCCUUUGCAGAAGCUUUAGAAGUUGGUUACAGCAAGUACAAAAAUCCGUAUCACAAUUUGAUUCAUGCAGCUGAUGUCACUCAAACUGUGCAUUAUAUAAUGCUUCAUACAGGUAUCAUGCACUGGCUCACUGAACUGGAAAUUUUAGCAAUGGUCUUUGCUGCUGCCAUUCAUGAUUAUGAGCAUACGGGAACUACAAACAAUUUUCAUAUUCAGACAAGGUCAGAUGUUGCCAUUUUGUAUAAUGAUCGCUCCGUCCUUGAAAAUCACCAUGUGAGUGCAGCGUAUCGACUUAUGCAAGAAGAAGAAAUGAAUGUCCUGGUAAAUUUAUCCAAAGAUGACUGGAGGGAUCUUCGGAACCUAGUGAUUGAAAUGGUUUUGUCUACAGACAUGUCGGGUCACUUCCAGCAAAUUAAAAAUAUAAGAAACAGUUUGCAGCAGCCUGAAGGGCUUGACAAAGCCAAAACCAUGUCCCUGAUCCUCCAUGCAGCAGACAUCAGUCACCCAGCCAAAUCCUGGCAGCUGCACCACCGAUGGACCAUGGCCCUGAUGGAGGAGUUUUUCCUACAGGGAGAUAAAGAAGCUGAAUUAGGGCUUCCAUUUUCCCCACUUUGUGAUCGGAAGUCAACGAUGGUGGCGCAGUCCCAAAUAGGUUUCAUUGAUUUCAUAGUAGAGCCAACAUUUUCUCUUCUGACAGACUCAACAGAGAAAAUUAUUAUUCCUCUUAUAGAGGAAGACUCAAAAACCAAAACUCCUUCCUAUGGAGCAAGCAGACGAUCAAAUAUGAAAGGCACCAUGAAUGAUGGAACCUAUUCCCCAGACUACUCCCUUGCAAGCGUGGACCUGAAGAGCUUCAAAAAUAACCUGGCGGACAUCAUCCAGCAGAACAAAGAGAGGUGGAAAGAAUUAGCUGCUCAAGGUGAGCCUGAUCUUCAUAAGAAUUCAGAAGAUCUAAUGAGAAAUUUAUUUCUGAAGUGGAUGGUUUGUAAAAUAUCAUUAGAAACAAAGUUAUCUUACUUAAAUGUCCUCCUGGAUUCUUCUUUUAAAUCUCUGUUUUCUGGAGCAAAACAUUAACAGGAAAUAUGAAUGUUUACACUGAGUGAUAAUAACAAAGCAAGUACAUAUUAUGAAACAACAUCAAUAUUUGCUAAAAUCCGUGGACAUUUGCAUCAAUGAUUCCCUUUUUAAAAAUUCAGCUUCUACAACCUAAGUGUCCAUCAACAGAUGAAUGGAUAAAGAAGAUGUGGCACAUAUAUACAAUGGAAUAUUACACAGCCAUAAAAAGAAACGAAAUUGAGUUAUUUGUAGUGAGGUGGAUGGACCUAGAGACUGUCAUGCAGAGUGAAGAUAAUGAGAACAGCACUAAAAUAUCCUAAAUCCUCAAUUUUCCACAAACCUAUAUUCUCCUCUUUCAACACACACUUGGAAACAGUCCAUUUUAUGGACUCAUAUAAGAGAAGAACAUAAAUUCUGAACUAGUAAUUCUAGCCAAAUAAAUACACUCAAAGUUGCUACCAGAGAUUUUGGCCAGUGCUUCUGCCAUUGCUCUUCCUCCAGAAUUUGGCCUUCUUCAAUCAAGCCAGAGAAAUUUUUAAGACAAAAAGUUGGACAGUUUUAAUUUUUCAUCAGUUUGAACCCAGUUACUGCAUAGGCAACUGUGCAAUAUGUGUGCAGAAGAUGAGGCAUUUUAAAAUUUGACUUUCUUGCUUUGUUUUAUACAGAGUGCUGUAACUACAGUAAAUUUUUCAAGAUGUUAAGUAAAAGGAAAGCAAAAACAAAAUUAUAGAAAAAUAUUUUUUGCAGCUCUGAGGCUAUUUAGAUUGUCCUUGUUAUUUUAAAUACAUGGGAACAAAGUGAGAGCCGGGGCUGCUCAGAAGCUGUGGUUGAAGCCCUAUAACAACAAUGGAGCAUCAGAGCCCUGGCUCUGUGACCUGAUGAACACUUCAUUGUAGCUCUCAAGCUGGGAAACCACAGUGAAACCUGCCCCUGAAAGCAGUGGACCAGCCUGCCUCCAUCCCUGUGAUUUCAAAGCACUAAUGCAUCACCUACAUGGGCGUCAUCACAAUGCAAGUCACACAUUACCUACGAUCCAAGAUGACAAGAACCUCCAGCCAUUGUUGGAGACAGACACUAGAACUGAGAAUGGAAUCUGCCUUCUGGGGUGUUGAUCCCGUCAGGAUGUAACAAAAUAUAUCACAGGCCAAGGGAUAAGUGACAAGAAGUGUGUGUGUGUGCGUGUCUGUGUGUGUAUUCAAAAAUGUCUAUGAAAAUGGAAUCCCACACUUUUCUGUACAGAUAAUGUUAUUUGACGUGAGUUUAUAAUUUUACCACACAGAAACAAACUGCAACCCUUGGAGACUCUGCUUCCUUGUCAUGUUUUGCCUGAGCAUGUGCAGAGCCUUGCCUUUGCUCCAAACUGAAGAGCUACAUUUAUUUGUUAUUAGCUGACAAGAAAGGUCAAGCACAAGUAGGUGUUGUAACUUUUCACUGUACAAACUCUUCAAUGAUUGUGAGACUAAGCGAAUACGUCUUUGUGAAUGGUAGAAUUGGGUGGAAAAAAUUAAGAGUAGCCAUCAAUUAAAGAAUAAAGUGAAGGUGGGUUGUCCAUCCUAAUGAGUUUUCUGUUGCACAUGCUUCUUCCCUGGGUUCCACAAUGCUAAGCAAUAUUUUAGAAAUGGAUGCAAUCACAAGCUUUUAAGUCUAAGUAGUGGGAUUUUAUAACUCACAACUUAGAUCUCUUUUCAUGUGUAAGCCAUAUUCUAUAUGCAUAUUAGGUAUGCAUUUUAAUUUAAGAUAUAUUUGUGCAUAGACUGUGUAUAAGAUGCUUUUAAAUGUUCUGUGAAUAAGUCCCUUAGAUUUUGUUUCACCUGAAGCAUAUGUAGAACACAGCUAAAUAAUUGAAUUGUAUCAUAGACAUUAUAAUGCAAUUGAUAUUUUAAAUGUAAGCAGUAAAGAUUGAUCUAUAAUGAUGUGUUGGGGGAAAUUUAUAGAUACGUACAUCAUGGUGACUUUUUGUCCUACAAUGGAUUUCUUAUUUCUAUUUAUGGAGAAACUGCAACUACUGCUUUUAAUGUCUUUUUUAAGGUAGCUAUUUACAAGCUAGAAAAUAUUCUGCAUUUAAGAUUAGAAUAUGACUGUCAGGGAAGUCUAAUUACUAUUGUUCCUAUUUGAGCCAGGUGUCUCUCAGCAAAGCUAUAGAGUCUCUCAACAGAGAAAUAAAUUGAAACACUGCUUCUUAAUUGUCAUAAGAAACAUGUCCACUUUGUUCCUAUUAAUACUUUAAGAUAUAUAGACUAUUACUAAAAAAAAUAGAGGAAUAUAAUGAAGUCAUUAUUUUCUGUAUAUGGGGUUUAACCUAAUUUUCCAGGUUAUGUAAUUUAUAAAGCGCUGUGACGGAACUUCCAGGGGAGUGGAGAAAACUCGCUCCAUCUCUUCAGAAGAGUUGUCACGCUAUUGAUGCACUUUUUUCCCCCAAUCUCCCUCGUCACUCCCUCUUUUACUCCUUCCCCUCCCUUCUCUCCUGCUCUCCUUUGUAUCUUCCUUAUUCCUUCCUUCCUCUCUCUAAGACAGGCACUAACUCAUGUUAAUUAGCGGGAAGUCAGAGCAAAGGGUACCAGUGCCCAUCCCUUCUGCCAACAUCAGUGUUGAAUCCAUCCUAAAGAGAAGGAUGGAUGAAUUCGGCUGCUGAGCCUUAAAUGGCCUGCUUUGCAUUUGUAUCCUCAGCUACUCAACAUAUAUCUAACAAUUUCAUAUGCCUCUUUAUUUAUCUGGUAUCUCUUUUAUUUAAUUUUUAACAUGACAAGCUACAAUUCUUGUGUUUUUAUUCUGCUGUAAUUCUCUGUAUUUCCUAUUGUAUAUUAUUGUUAAAUAAAUCAUACUUGAGGGAAA